rnacentral:rRNA from 1 species
UAUCACGGGAGACACACGGCGGGUGCUAACGUCCGUCGUGAAGAGGGAAACAACCCAGACCGCCAGCUAAGGUCCCAAAGUCAUGGUUAAGUGGGAAACGAUGGGAAGGCCCAGACAGCCAGGAUGUUGGCUUAGAAGCAGCCAUCAUUUAAAGAAAGCGUAAUAGCUCACUGGUCGAGUCGGCCUGCGCGGAAGAUGUAACGGGGCUAAACCAUGCACCGAAGCUGCGGCAGCGACACUGUGUGUUGUUGGGUAGGGGAGCGUUCUGUAAGCCUGUGAAAGGUGUGUCGUGAGGCAUGCUGGAGGUAUCAGAAGUGCGAAUGCUGACAUAAGUAACGAUAAAGCGGGUGAAAAGCCCGCUCGCCGGAAGACCAAGGGUUCCUGUCCAACGUUAAUCGGGGCAGGGUGAGUCGACCCCUAAGGCGAGGCCGAAAGGCGUAGUCGAUGGGAAACGGGUUAAUAUUCCCGUACUUGGUGUUACUGCGAAGGGGGGACGGAGAAGGCUAUGUUGGCCGGGCGACGGUUGUCCCGGUUUAAGCGUGUAGGUGUGUGUUCCAGGUAAAUCCGGUUCACUUUAACACUGAGGCGUGACGACGAGGCACUACGGUGCUGAAGCAACAAAUGCCCUGCUUCCAGGAAAAGCCUCUAAGCAUCAGGUAACAUCAAAUCGUACCCCAAACCGACACAGGUGGUCAGGUAGAGAAUACCAAGGCGCUUGAGAGAACUCGGGUGAAGGAACUAGGCAAAAUGGUGCCGUAACUUCGGGAGAAGGCACGCUGACACGUAGGUGAAGUGAUUUACUCAUGGAGCUGAAGUCAGUCGAAGAUACCAGCUGGCUGCAACUGUUUAUUAAAAACACAGCACUGUGCAAACACGAAAGUGGACGUAUACGGUGUGACGCCUGCCCGGUGCCGGAAGGUUAAUUGAUGGGGUCAGCGCAAGCGAAGCUCCUGAUCGAAGCCCCGGUAAACGGCGGCCGUAACUAUAACGGUCCUAAGGUAGCGAAAUUCCUUGUCGGGUAAGUUCCGACCUGCACGAAUGGCGUAAUGAUGGCCAGGCUGUCUCCACCCGAGACUCAGUGAAAUUGAACUCGCUGUGAAGAUGCAGUGUACCCGCGGCAAGACGGAAAGACCCCGUGAACCUUUACUAUAGCUUGACACUGAACAUUGAGCCUUGAUGUGUAGGAUAGGUGGGAGGCUUUGAAGCGUGGACGCCAGUCUGCGUGGAGCCAACCUUGAAAUACCACCCUUUAAUGUUUGAUGUUCUAACGUGGACCCGUAAUCCGGGUUGCGGACAGUGUCUGGUGGGUAGUUUGACUGGGGCGGUCUCCUCCUAAAGAGUAACGGAGGAGCACGAAGGUUGGCUAAUCCUGGUCGGACAUCAGGAGGUUAGUGCAAUGGCAUAAGCCAGCUUGACUGCGAGCGUGACGGCGCGAGCAGGUGCGAAAGCAGGUCAUAGUGAUCCGGUGGUUCUGAAUGGAAGGGCCAUCGCUCAACGGAUAAAAGGUACUCCGGGGAUAACAGGCUGAUACCGCCCAAGAGUUCAUAUCGACGGCGGUGUUUGGCACCUCGAUGUCGGCUCAUCACAUCCUGGGGCUGAAGUAGGUCCCAAGGGUAUGGCUGUUCGCCAUUUAAAGUGGUACGCGAGCUGGGUUUAGAACGUCGUGAGACAGUUCGGUCCCUAUCUGCCGUGGGCGCUGGAGAACUGAGGGGGGCUGCUCCUAGUACGAGAGGACCGGAGUGGACGCAUCACUGGUGUUCGGGUUGUCAUGCCAAUGGCACUGCCCGGUAGCUAAAUGCGGAAGAGAUAAGUGCUGAAAGCAUCUAAGCACGAAACUUGCCCCGAGAUGAGUUCUCCCUGAGACUUAAAGUCUCCUGAAGGAACGUUGAAGACGACGACGUUGAUAGGCCGGGUGUGUAAGCGCAGCGAUGCGUUGAGCUAACCGGUACUAAUGAACCGUGAGGCUUAACCUU